AGUUGAUUUGGGAACCAGAGAACAGCAGCCUAAGUUUGACUGUAAUUUUGGCAGCUACAGAUUCCCAAGACAACUAGGAAGGGAAAAGGAACCCUUCAAGGAAGUUCCAGGAAAAACGUCUCUCCCAAAAAGACCACUGCUUCAGGAAAACCUGAGGAAGGGAGUGGGCCAACAGUAUCCUGCCAUUGUGACCAGCUGAACGAGGAACUCCAUCAAAAUGAGCCAUAGCUGGACCAAAACAGUGAGGAGACCUCCACCUUCUUCAGUGUCUCCCUGAGCAGUCAGUAAUUUCAGGGCAAGCUGAGAGGUCUCCAGAGGUCUAGCCCCAGAUAAAUAGCCAACAGGGUCUAGAGUACAUUUUAUACCCCACAGGGUAUACCCCAUGGUGAUCAAAAUAAAAUAAACCUGUUGUAAAAUGA